GAUGAACGCUGGCGGCGUGCCUAAUACAUGCAAGUCGAGCGAACAGAUGAGAAGCUUGCUUCUCUGAUGUUAGCGGCGGACGGGUGAGUAACACGUGGGUAACCUUCCUAUAAGACUAGGAUAACUCCGGGAAACCGGGGCUAAUACCGGAUAAUAUUUUGAAACGCAUGGUUCAAUAGUGAAAGACGGUUUCGGCUGUCACUUAUAGAUGGACCCGCGCCGUAUUAGCUAGUUGGUAAGGUAACGGCUUACCAAGGCGACGAUACGUAGCCGACCUGAGAGGGUGAUCGGCCACACUGGAACUGAGACACGGUCCAGACUCCUACGGGAGGCAGCAGUAGGGAAUCUUCCGCAAUGGGCGAAAGCCUGACGGAGCAACGCCGCGUGAGUGAUGAAGGUCUUCGGAUCGUAAAACUCUGUUGUUAGGGAAGAACAAAUUUGUUAGUAACUGAACAAGUCUUGACGGUACCUAACCAGAAAGCCACGGCUAACUACGUGCCAGCAGCCGCGGUAA
rnacentral:rRNA from 1 species